rnacentral:rRNA from 2 species
ACCGGGGGAACUGAAACAUCUAAGUACCCCGAGGAAAAGAAAUCAACCGAGAUUCCCCCAGUAGCGGCGAGCGAACGGGGAGGAGCCCAGAGCCUGAAUCAGCAUGUGUGUUAGUGGAAGCGUCUGGAAAGGCGCGCGAUACAGGGUGACAGCCCCGUACACAAAAGCGCAUGUGCUGUGAGCUCGAUGAGUAGGGCGGGACACGUGGUAUCCUGUCUGAAUAUGGGGGGACCAUCCUCCAAGGCUAAAUACUCCUGACUGACCGAUAGUGAACCAGUACCGUGAGGGAAAGGCGAAAAGAACCCCGGCGAGGGGAGUGAAAAAGAACCUGAAACCGUGUACGUACAAGCAGUGGGAGCACAGGUUUACCUGUGUGACUGCGUACCUUUUGUAUAAUGGGUCAGCGACUUAUAUUCUGUAGCAAGGUUAACCGAAUAGGGGAGCCGGAGGGAAACCGAGUCUUAAUUGGGCGUUAAGUUGCAGGGUAUAGACCCGAAACCCGGUGAUCUAGCCAUGGGCAGGUUGAAGGUUGGGUAACACUAACUGGAGGACCGAACCGACUAAUGUUGAAAAAUUAGCGGAUGACCUGUGGCUGGGGGUGAAAGGCCAAUCAAACCGGGAGAUAGCUGGUUCUCCCCGAAAGCUAUUUAGGUAGCGCCUCGUGAAUUCAUCUCCGGGGGUAGAGCACUGUUUCGGCUAGGGGGCCAUCCCGGCUUACCAACCCGAUGCAAACUGCGAAUACCGGAGAAUGUUAUCACGGGAGACACACGGCGGGUGCUAACGUCCGUCGUGAAGAGGGAAACAACCCAGACCGCCAGCUAAGGUCCCAAAGUCAUGGUUAAGUGGGAAACGAUGUGGGAAGGCCCAGACAGCCAGGAUGUUGGCUUAGAAGCAGCCAUCAUUUAAAGAAAGCGUAAUAGCUCACUGGUCGAGUCGGCCUGCGCGGAAGAUGUAACGGGGCUAAACCAU